CCCCCCUCAUGAACUGUUGAGGGGCCCUGGCAGAUGCACGGGAGGUUUUCCAGAUGGCAGAGGUGCUUAAACCCUGCAUUAUCUGCGAGGAAGGCUGGUGGAGUGGUCUGGAGGACAGGUGGACAGCCGUAUUCAGUGUGCGGGGGUUGGUCCUACCUCGAAGGCAUGACCAGCCUGCAGAUUCUUCUGUGGAUCUCCCACCGUCUUGGCAUUUGGAGAAGAGGGCUCAUGGCGGAGUGGGCAGGAGGCCGUUCUCAGGUGUGGAAAGGCUACUCCAGCUGUCUGGUUUGCAAUCAUUAAGUGUGAAUUAGGACAGAGCAAAAGCUCUUUCCUUCCUUCACAGCUCCCACCACCCCUCCCCCGCCCCCGUUUGUUUAGAUGGAGACAUGGUGGAAAAAAAAAAAAAAAGACUCCAGCAGAGACUCCAGCAUCCUGUGAUGCACUGAACGCUAGCCGGUGUCCACGGAGGUCCGGUGACUCGGUAUGCACAAUGCCACACACUUGGAAACUGGAAACACAUCUACAUGGCCCUGUGCAGCAACUACAGGGACCAAUGGAGGCCACACUUCUCUCUCCUGUCACGGACUUCAGCUCCCAGGAGCAACCCAGGAACCACCAGAAAUGCCAGCCGGCCGGGAUGUCAAGCCCUUUCAACAGGUCCCUGAUCGAUGUUCCUGCCAGAGUAGCUGCUUGUGGCUGUCCCUGUGGCCUAUGUGUGUGCUGACGUGGCCCGGUGGGAUGACGUGGUUGGUGAAUGGAAGGU
rnacentral:lncRNA from 1 species